UACAUGCAGUGGAGUCGCCGUAUCUCGCCGUUCAAGAUAUGCGUACUCGUAAGUGGCAUUUUAAUUUCACGUUGUGUAAUGCAUGACUGUCUUUUUCAAGUGAACAAAGGUCGCUUUGUAUUGUGUAAAUGGUUUUGCAACGUAUGAUAAACUCCUUGUCUUUCGGGCUUAUUUUUUCUGACAGGAAGAAAAAAAAAAAAGAGGCUUUACAUGAGAACGGAUCAAGCGUUCGAGAGUUGGGACAGGGAAAUGAAACACUGGAACGACACUGCUUAAAUUGAAGCACAGUGUGCGAAUGACCUGCUACGCUCGGAACUGUUAUCACCAUUCGGGAAGAAAUUGGGUAAGAAUGGAUUGUGUGUGGCGCGCUUCACCGCAUGUGGACUAGAGUAGAUCUAGGAACAUCAGACAAGAAGACACGUAUGUGAAACCCUGCGGAUAGCCCAUAUGUGAACUUUUUUUCCAGAUACGGAGGAACGGACACCGGUCGUGCCGUGAGCACUAUUCUGCAGGGCAUACUUACAAAUGAAGCUGCACUGCAGUUCAGCUGGAAAGGGUCGCAGGGGAGGAAGCACGCCUUCGUGAAGCUCAUGGCCAUCACGAAUAUAACAUCUGUGAGGAGCACGUUCCCUGACGCUUCACUAGCAUCAGUGGCUGGAGUCGCAAAACGCUGGUUGGUUGGAGCAGCUGACAGGGAUGGAGGCCGGAAUGAAAGAAGGCGCCGUGACCCUGCUUCAAGCCCACCAAAUAUGAACUAGUGUUUGAAACUUGUGAACGUGUCGGUGUACAUAUACAAUUACAAGAAAUAAAGACCUGUAUCAGAAUCUUUUGCCUGGCAUUUAUGUGGCAUGAAAAGUACAAAAAAGCGUUCGCUUUCGUGUGGUACUUCUAUGCCGGCCACCACACA
rnacentral:lncRNA from 1 species